GAUGAACGCUGGCGGCGUGCCUAAUACAUGCAAGUCGAGCGAACAGACGAGGAGCUUGCUCCUUUGACGUUAGCGGCGGACGGGUGAGUAACACGUGGGUAACCUACCUAUAAGACUGGGAUAACUUCGGGAAACCGGAGCUAAUACCGGAUAAUAUUUCGAACCGCAUGGUUCGAUAGUGAAAGAUGGCUUUGCUAUCACUUAUAGAUGGACCUGCGCCGUAUUAGCUAGUUGGUAAGGUAACGGCUUACCAAGGCAACGAUACGUAGCCGACCUGAGAGGGUGAUCGGCCACACUGGAACUGAGACACGGUCCAGACUCCUACGGGAGGCAGCAGUAGGGAAUCUUCCGCAAUGGGCGAAAGCCUGACGGAGCAACGCCGCGUGAGUGAUGAAGGUCUUCGGAUCGUAAAACUCUGUUAUUAGGGAAGAACAAACGUGUAAGUAACUGUGCACGUCUUGACGGUACCUAAUCAGAGAGCCACGGCUAACUACGU
rnacentral:rRNA from 1 species